rnacentral:rRNA from 1 species
AGGAUGAACGCUGGCGGCGUGCCUAAGACAUGCAAGUCGAGUGGGUUUAGACCCACGGCGAACGGGUGAGUAAUACCUAGGAACUUUUCUUUAGUUGAGGAUAUCCCAUCGAAAGAUGGUGCAAUACUCAAUGUGGUCACGGUGCAAAUCGUGACUAAAGUCGCAAGACGCUAAAGCUGAGGCCUGGGCACCAUCAGCUAGUUGGUAAGGUAAUGGCUUACCAAGGCUAUGACGGUUAGGGGCCCCGAGAGGGGAAACCCCCACACUGGAACUGCGACACGGUCCAGACUCCUACGGGAGGCAGCAGUUUGGAAUUUUGGACAAUGGGCGAAAGCCUGAUCCAGCGACGCCGCGUGGACGAUGAAGGCCUUCGGGUCGUAAAGUCCUUUUUGCUCGGGAACAAUAAUUUGAGCGUACCGAGAGAAUAAGAGGUUGCUAACUCUGUGCCAGCAGCCGC